GCCUUUCGGGGUGGAUUAGUGGCGAACGGGUGAGUAACACGUGGGCAAUCUGCCCUUCACUCUGGGACAAGCCCUGGAAACGGGGUCUAAUACCGGAUAACACUCCUGCCUGCAUGGGUGGGGGUUGAAAGCUCCGGCGGUGAAGGAUGAGCCCGCGGCCUAUCAGCUUGUUGGUGGGGUAAUGGCCUACCAAGGCGACGACGGGUAGCCGGCCUGAGAGGGCGACCGGCCACACUGGGACUGAGACACGGCCCAGACUCCUACGGGAGGCAGCAGUGGGGAAUAUUGCACAAUGGGCGAAAGCCUGAUGCAGCGACGCCGCGUGAGGGAUGACGGCCUUCGGGUUGUAAACCUCUUUCAGCAGGGAAGAAGCG
rnacentral:rRNA from 1 species